rnacentral:rRNA from 1 species
GAUGAACGCUAGCUACAGGCUCAACACAUGCAAGUCGAGGGGUAACAAGAGGAAAGCUUGCUUUUCUUGUUGACGACCGGCGCACGGGUGAGUAACGCGUAUCCAACCUGCCUAUAACUAGGGAAUAACCUUGCGAAAGUAAGACUAAUACCCUAUGAUUUCCUUUGAUGGCAUCAGAUUAGGAAUAAAGAUUUAUCGGUUAUAGAUGGGGAUGCGUCUGAUUAGCUUGUUGGCGGGGUAACGGCCCACCAAGGCAACGAUCAGUAGGGGUUCUGAGAGGAAGGUCCCCCACAUUGGAACUGAGACACGGUCCAAACUCCUACGGGAGGCAGCAGUGAGGAAUAUUGGUCAAUGGGCGGAAGCCUGAACCAGCCAAGUAGCGUGCAGGAUGACGGCCCUAUGGGUUGUAAACUGCUUUUAUACAGGAAUAAAGUUAGCCACGUGUGGUUAUUUGUAGGUACUGUAUGAAUAAGGACCGGCUAAUUCCGUGCCAGCAGCCGCAGUAA